rnacentral:misc_RNA from 1 species
CAUUAACGAGGAAGGGUUUCCGAAAGGAGCCCGAACUCCCCACCCUUUGCUGUUGCGAAUCUGUUGCUUCGGCGGGCCCGCCCCCCCAUCCCUGGGGGGCCGGCCGGGCCUCACCGCCCGGACAGCGCCCGCCGGAGGACCGAAUCAACUCUGUUUUUAACCAUAAUGUCGGAGUACUUUUGUACAAUCAAAUUAAAACUUUCAACAACGGAUCUCUUGGUUCUGGCAUCGAUGAAGAACGCAGCGAAAUGCGAUAAGUAAUGUGAAUUGCAGAAUUCAGUGAAUCAUCGAAUCUUUGAACGCACAUUGCGCCCCUUGGUAUUCCGAGGGGCAUGCCUGUUCGAGCGUCAUUUCACCAAUCAAGCCCAGCUUGGUAUUAGGCGCCUGGCCGGCCCCCCGUGGCCGGCCCGCCCGAAAUGCAUCGGCGAGGCACCGACCCCCGGCGUGUUAGAAUUUCGAAACGUCAGGAGCACCGGUGUUAACCUCCGCCGUGAAACCUUUCAAACUAUUUUUCUAAGGU